rnacentral:piRNA from 1 species
UAUUUGUUUCUAAAGUGACUUGUGGAC